CCUGGUUGGGUCUGACAGUGCUGACCCUCCUGCAGAGGGCUGAUGGGUAGCCCCAUCAUCUAAUUGCAUCUCCGGGGGCCGGGACGGACACCCUGCUGAAAUGCUGCAUGACUUUCUUCCAGGUGCCCUGUGAAUGGCCACAUGAUGCAGUGCACUUUAUGUUGGAGCACAGGUACGAAGAUCUGUAAAGGGACUAUAAAUGGUCAUUUUAUACAGUGACAAGAGUUUGUUGUCACAUUCUAAGAAGAAAUGUGGCUAUGUAAAUGCAAAUGUAUGGAUUUACGGAUGUGUGUAAAUAUGUUACUCUAUCUGUGUAUAUGUAAAUAUGUCAUUGUAUGUAUGUGCAUCUGUGUUAAUUUUGUCGUCUAACUAUUUUAGUCGACUAACAUUUUUGAGAUUUAGUCGGCUAAAAGUAGACUAAAACAAAAACAAUUCCAAGAUUUUACUAGUAACAUGACGUAAAGUCAUG